rnacentral:rRNA from 1 species
GACGAACGCUGGCGGCGUGCUUAACACAUGCAAGUCGAACGGAAAGGCCCUGCUUUUGUGGGGUGCUCGAGUGGCGAACGGGUGAGUAACACGUGAGUAACCUGCCCUUGACUUUGGGAUAACUUCAGGAAACUGGGGCUAAUACCGGAUAGGAGCGCCUGCUGCAUGGUGGGGGUUGGAAAGUUUCGGCGGUUGGGGAUGGACUCGCGGCUUAUCAGCUUGUUGGUGGGGUAGUGGCUUACCAAGGCUUUGACGGGUAGCCGGCAUGAGAGGGUGACCGGCCACAUUGGGACUGAGAUACGGCCCAGACUCCUACGGGAGGCAGCAGUGGGGAAUAUUGCACAAUGGGCGGAAGCCUGAUGCAGCAACGCCGCGUGCGGGAUGACGGCCUUCGGGUUGUAAACCGCAUUCGCCUGUGACGAAGCGUGAGUGACGGUAAUGGGUAAAGAAGCACCGGCUAACUACGUG